AUGCAUCUAUUUGGCAGACCUCGUGCAAUUACUGUCUGCUGCUAAGAUUUCCACUACAGAUGCACAAAAAAAGUGUCCUUGCACUUUCUCUCUGUCUGAUUGUGGCAGCCAAGAUGGAGUGGGGGAAUACAGAG